GUGAAAACUCAGAAAGAGAUGAACAGCGUGGCGUAUUUGGGCUCGAUCGGAAAGAAAGCGGUUGGUUGCGGCGGAACGGAGAACCGUAGAAUCAGAGUGUCGUUAUUUGGGCUCGAUCGGAAAGAAAGCGGUUGGAUCAAGAACGAGUUCGGCGUGGUUCUUGGGGCAUGGCCGGCGAUUCUGAUUUCGUUUGCGUGAUACUUGAGUGAACUGGCUGAACUCGCGUUUUUCUGGAGGCGUGCAGAUGGAUCUUGGUUCUUCAUGGAACCUGGAUUUGAGUUGGAGACUUGGGCCUUUGGCCCAAGCGAUUUCAAACUCUACACCUCCCUCUGUCUUACAUACCCCCAGACCCCGUUUGUUGUGGAUGUUUGUUGAGAUUUAGUCAUUAGGUUUUGAUAUUUCUUUCUUGUGGAUGUUUGUUGAGAUUAAUAUGGUUAGAUUUUGAUUUUACCAUGAUUUCCCCAUUAGGUUAAUUCUCAUUCAAUUGGACUAUUGUGUGAUUGAUUUGUAUAAUCAUGUAGUUUAGAUUCAAUUCUUGAAUUUGGAUUGUGAAUUUCACAUUUGAUUAAUUUCGAUUCUAAUUCAUGUUGGUUUAUGAUCAUUUUGAAUAAAUUGAACAAACUCACUUGAGCGUCGAAGCCAUGUUCAAAGUACAAAACAACGACAACAAAAUCUAGAAAUCUGGUGACGAAACUCAAAUCGACCAAAACCGGUUCUUACCCACAAAGACGUCGAGCUCCUAAUGCAACAAACUCGUGCAAGCAAACACUUGUGUUCGCGUCGUUGAUGAUGUUGAUUCGUGAUGAAAAACCUCGUGUUGGUGAUGACCCCGUUUUUCAGAUCGUGUUUCUUUGAGGAUGGACGAUGAAGACAGAGCUUCACGUUCUUGAUGAUGAAGAAUGAAGAUAAGGUUCUGCGUGUUGGCGAUUCAUGUACGUUAGCAAAGAAGAGUGAAGAUUGAAAGAUAACCUUCUCUCCGCAUCGACUUCCAAUGUUCUGGUGCGGUAUUCAGGUUCUUGAUCCUUCUCCCUUUCAAUCUUCUUCUUCCCGAUUCUGCUUUCUCUCAAUAUUGUGCAUGUGUCUCUGUUUUAU
rnacentral:lncRNA from 1 species